rnacentral:snoRNA from 1 species
AACCCAUGUGAGGGCACCUUCUCGAUAAAUCCUUAUACCUCUCCCAUGCAUCAUAUAGGGUUUCUAAAUCAAUUUGAAUGAAAGAGGAGAUAUCAUUCCUCAACUU